rnacentral:rRNA from 1 species
GUGGCGGACUGGUGAGUAASACGUAWACUACCUGCCUAUCACAGGGGAACWACAGUUACAARUGASUGCUAAUACCGCAUAUGCCUUAAUUACUACAUGGUAGUAGAGGGAAAGGAGCAAUCCGCUGAUAGAUGGGCUUGCGUCUGAUUAGAUAGUUGGUGGGGUAAUGGCCUACCAAGUCGACGAUCAGUAGCCGGACUGAGAGGUUGAACGGCCACAUUGGGACUGAGAUACGGCCCAGACUCCUACGGGAGGCAGCAGUCGGGAAUAUUGCGCAAUGGAGGAAACUCUGACGCAGUGACGCCGCGUGCAGGAAGAAGGUUUUCGGAUUGUAAACUGCUUUAGACAGGGAAGAAAGUGACAGUACCUGUAGAAUAAGCUCCGGCUAACUACGUGCCAGCAGCCGCGGUAAUACGUAGGGAGCAAGCGUUAUCCGGAUUUAUUGGGUGUAAAGGGUGCGUAGACGGGAAAACAAGUUAGUUGUGAAAUCCCUCGGCUUAACUGAGGAACUGCAACUAAAACUAUUUUUCUUGAGUGCUGGAGAGGAAAGUGGAAUUCCUAGUGUAGCGGUGAAAUGCGUAGAUAUUAGGAGGAACACCAGUGGCGAAGGCGACUUUCUGGACAGUAACUGACGUUGAGGCACGAAAGUGUGGGGAGCAAACAGGAUUAGAUACCCUGGUAGUCCACACUGUAAACGAUGGAUACUAGGUGUAGGGGAUGAAUAAUCUUCUGUGCCGUCGCAAACGCAGUAAGUAUCCCACCUGGGGAGUACGGCCGCAAGGUUGAAACUCAAAGGAAUUGACGGGGGCCCGCACAAGCAGUGGAGUAUGUGGUUUAAUUCGACGCAACGCGAAGAACCUUACCAGGGCUUGACAUAUACAGGAAUACUUAAGAGAUUAAGUAGCUCUUCGGAGUCUGUAUACAGGUGGUGCAUGGUUGUCGUCAGCUCGUGUCGUGAGAUGUUGGGUUAAGUCCCGCAACGAGCGCAACCCCUGUUCUUAGUUGCCAGCAUGUAAAGAUGGGAACUCUAAGAAGACUGCCGGUGAUAAAUCGGAGGAAGGUGGGGACGACGUCAAAUCAUCAUGCCCUAUAUGUCCUGGGCUACACACGUACUACAAUGGCUGUAACAAAGGGAAGCAAAGCCGCGAGGUGGAGCAAAACCCAAAAAAGCAGUCUCAGUUCGGAUUGAAGUAKGAAAUUCCCMUUCAUGACGCCGGAAUUGCUAGUAMUGGCAGGUCACCAUACUGCCGUGAAUCCGUUCCCGGKCCUCGUACACACCSCCCGUCACACCAUGAGAGUUGGGAAUACC